GAGAUGACAGAGCGAGGCUGAAGCUCUGCGUGGAGGAGGGUUUCAGGCUUUGACCUGAGCCAUGAUUUGAGCAGAAGGAGUCUAUUAGACAGAAGGGAGAGAUGUGCUGUAGUUGUUGCUUUUCUGUCUGGAGUGCCCACCUCUGAAUUCCUAUUGGUGGGUUAAGUCAGGGUCUCUUUCACCAUCGAUGUCAAGUUCAGUUCCCACAGACUGAGCACCUCCCACAAGGUCCGUGCUCCUGCGAGUCCUCAUUUGUAGGGACCACUCUCCCUAUUGUACAGAGGGAGAAACUGAGAAACCGCAACUCCUCCAGGAUCCAAGAGCUGGCCUUCGAAAACUUGGAAGUGGAAAAGAAGAGGCUUCAUAGAUAUCUUUGAGAACAAGUGCGGGACACAGUGUGAGCGGAGGAGGCCAGUCAAAGACAGGCCACUGUGUGCCUCCGCCGGCCGGCAUCCUGCCGCUUCACCUCCACUGUGUGCACCCAGUUCAAGCCCAGCACAGGCAAACGCCCCUCCACGUGAAGACGCACACGGGCAGAGCUAGCAAACAGCCACGAGCUCUGGCGCCAGGGAGCGAGGACUUCUGAGCUGGUCGCCUUCCUUCUUGCAAUCUCAUGAGGGCCCCACAGCAAAUAACCGUGCUUCCUUGUGUUUACGGGCUUCCCUGGUGACUCAGUGGUCCCCACAGCCUCCUGAGGAAUUUAUUCCAUCUGUACCAGCCAUUCCCUGCUGCUGCUGCCCAGCCAGGCCUGGAUACAGCUCCAGAACACUGGGCACCUCCAUUUCCUGGCAGUUGUUUCUGCCACAACCUUCAGGGUGGUGCUGGCCCUUCCCAGGGGCUGCUGCCAACAUUCCCAGCACUGCAAACUCUCUAGGAG
ensembl:lncRNA